GACGAACGCUGGCGGCGUGCUUAACACAUGCAAGUCGAACGGAAAGGCCCUGCUUGCAGGGUACUCGAGUGGCGAACGGGUGAGUAACACGUGGGUGAUCUGCCCUGCACUUCGGGAUAAGCUUGGGAAACUGGGUCUAAUACCGGAUAGGAACCAUCUUUAGUGUGGUGGUUGGAAAGUUUUUUCGGUGUAGGAUGAGCUCGCGGCCUAUCAGCUUGUUGGUGGGGUAAUGGCCUACCAAGGCGGCGACGGGUAGCCGGCCUGAGAGGGUGUACGGCCACAUUGGGACUGGGAUACGGCCCAGACUCCUACGGGAGGCAGCAGUGGGGAAUAUUGCACAAUGGGCGCAAGCCUGAUGCAGCGACGCCGCGUGGGGGAUGAAGGCCUUCGGGUUGUAAACUCCUUUCGCUAGGGACGAAGCUUUUUGUGACGGUACCUAGAUAAGAAGCACCGGCUAACUACGUG
rnacentral:rRNA from 1 species